rnacentral:lncRNA from 1 species
UUUCAACCUGCCAGUGCCUCUGACCUUCAGACAGCUUUGUUUUUGUGGAACAUAUAGCAAGGCUUGAAAGUUUGCUUUACAGGGGAAACCACCUGGGCAUUGUGCUAGCUCCGAACCCACACACCGUGAAGGAAGACCUCUACUCUUUUGAAGAUAUGCAUUUCCCUGACUCAGGAAUCAUGAGCAAGGAAGCCAACAGGAAAACAGUAGAAUAUCACCCAGCAGAUUCAAACAGCAGGAAAACAGCUUUGCCAAAAAAUAAAUCUUGCCCAAACAUACGUGAAGUAAUGAAUCAGAAUAUACGUCUGAAAGGUAAAAUUCUUUCACUGCUGAAAAAGGAAGUACUAUAGCACGUCUAUUUAACCUACUUCUUACUCAGAGCUAGUAAUAAUCUGUGACAGAUCUGAACAUUUUAAUAUCAUAAAAAUUUUAAAUGAAUUGUAAGAAAAAAUUAAAAGUAAUGGAUACCCACCAAGGGGAUACCAAAUAAUGCAGAAAACAAAAAGGCGUUUACUUCCAGUGUGCCCCCAAAAAUUUUUGGUUUCUUGAUGGCAUACACUGCAAAAAGCCAUCAAUAAGUUACUCUCUUGAUGGGGACUGAAAAUAUUACUUUCUAGAAAGCAGCUGAGGGAACUUUCUUUUUCCUUCUGCUGCUACCUUUGAAGAUCUCUCCUCUUUUUGCUAUUUGCUGUUCCAAAACAACAAGACAAUGACACAGGAUUUCUAAAUCUGUUUCCAUGACAGAUUAUGGUCUGUCAAGCAAGUAGCAAGCAUGUGUUUAAGCUACAUUAAUUUCAAAAGUGAAACACUGCACUUAUUUAAAUUGCUGGUAAAUGACACCGUAGUUCACAACUGUAGCUGUGCUGAGACAUUUAAUGCAAAACAUAUAAAAUUAUCUAACUAAAAAGUGGCACAACUGGCCAGAUAAAUUUAUUUCCUGUACCAUAUGUUUAUAGUGUAAUGUGAAGUUUGCUUAAAUGCAUUCAAUAUCCAUAUAAUAUAGAAGAUUUAGGGCUGGAGAAAGCACUUCUGGGAAAAAUAAAACCCAGCAAUCAAUCAUCUAACUGCAAAUCCUUUCUUUUCUGUGGAUAGGUGGCCUUAGCACAAAUACCCACCAUAACUGGUAUUUAUUCACAUGCCUUUUUCACAUCUCUGAAGUGAAACCUUCCCAGUUUUUUACUUGGUACUCUAAUUAAACCUAUACUAUUCAGGAAGUUUCUGCCUGUUUUUCUAGCCCCUCGGUAGGCUUGGGGAAUAUGUCUGUAUACUUGAACAGGACAAGGUUUUCCACCAUAAUUUUGGGCAAGACAGUAAAAAAGUGACUCUGAAAAUGUCUAUGCAGUUCUUCCUUGAAGCAUUUCCAGCUUCAGGCUUUUUUCCACUGAAGUGGUUAGGACACACCAUGAGGAUCACAAGGUUUAUUAAAUCACAGCCCACAAUUCUUUAUCACUUUCUGCCACUGGCUGAAACACCACAGUGACUGAAAAAAUAACACUGUGCAUUCAUAGAUUCAGGGGAGCCAAUGGGAACAGAUUUACCUUCUGCUUUCCCACAUAAAGGGCUAUGUUUUUGAUGUUGGAUUUUCAUGUACAAAUUCCUAAACUGUCACCUUUUUAAACAGAACUUUUUUAGGUCAUCAUGAAAAGCAGUCAAGGUUGCCACAAAAUUCACACACUGUUUUAUUCCCUUACAAAUUAAAGAGAAGAUAUUUUUUUUCCAUUUUGUCCUUUGACGUCAGGCAUUCUCUGUCCACUGGCAGAAACACACCCACAUGUAUGCCAUAGAAAUAAAACACCUUCCUAUUAUUAUAACUGAUAGUCUCUAUUUAUUAAUUUCACAGGCAAUGCAGCAAAGCAACAAAAAAUUUUCAGACUGAAUAAAAUAUGAUCUGCCCCUAGAGCUUGAGGACUGAAACCUGAUUUGGCAACACUGAUUAUAGUGUUGCCUACUCUAGCCAGUGCCAGCUCUAAAUCUUUAGCUUGUAGUGGAAAAAAAAAUGAUGCCAGAAGGUCCAGCUGAUUGCAACUACCUGGCACAAAGAUUCUGUCCUCUUUCAUCCUUGUUCAACAGCCAGUGCAGCAAAAGCCAGAAAAUUUGAAGAUGUCCCUGCUCAUUGCAGGUGGGUUGGGCUAGAUGAUCUUUAAAGGCCCUUUCCAAACAAACUAGUCCAUGACUCUAUAAUAAAUUGGAUGUUCCAGGGUAAUAGAUAGAUAGAUAGAUAGAUAGAUAGAUAGAUAGAUAGAUAGAAAACAGCAGAAAUAGUCUCCCCUUAGGUGUUAAGCCUCUGCAACAGUACCUCUUCUAACACCUGGACAGUGUGCAGCACUUCAUAUUCUGAAGGCCUGAUAUGUACAGCAAGGCUAACAGAGUGAAAUAUUCAUCUUCAUUAUAAAAAUUAUAUUCUUAAGUAACAGGAAGAGUGGUUUCUAGCUGGUUUGCAUUCCUCAGCUAGCACAGAGGAAAUAUUUGGGCAGUGACCUUAGGUAGAGGGCACACCCACGGAAAAGCAGCACCAGUGCUGCUCACUCCAUUGGUCCAGUGCAAAGGAGGCCUAAGAAGAAAAGCAGAGGGAAGGCUGGAGUUUAUCCCAACUCCAGUGAUUCAUGCAUAACAGAAGAGAUGAUAAACUGACCUGGACAUCAAAUUGUAAACUGAUAUUGGAUAGCAAUACAUCACCCCAAAGGCUUGUUGUCAAACAGUCCCCUUUUAGCAUUAAGCCAUGAAAUGCAUGGGUAAUAGCAUUGAUGUUUACCACUGUUAUUCAUUUUCUAUUGUUGAGCAUAAAACAGCAACUUUUUUUAUUUUUUUAGAAGUACAAAGGCUGAAAAUUAAGACACUGCCUUUUUAUUUUUAUCCUGGCACCACCUUUAACUGGGUUUACUUCUGGUUUGCACCAGUAUAACUAAACAGAAAAUCAGACAAGUAGCUUGAACGAAUAAAUCUCCUUCCCUCUCCCCCAUGAAUGAUCCUCCAUGCAGAGAUUAAA